rnacentral:rRNA from 1 species
CUCAGACGAACGCUGGCGGCAUGCCUAACACAUGCAAGUCGAACGAAGCCUUCGGGCUUAGUGGCGCACGGGUGCGUAACACGUGGGAAUCUGGCCCUUCGGUUCGGAAUAACAGUUAGAAAUGACUGCUAAUACCGGAUGAUGACGUAAGUCCAAAGAUUUAUCGCCGAAGGAUGAGCCCGCGUAGGAUUAGGUAGUUGGUAGGGUAAUGGCCUACCAAGCCGACGAUCCUUAGCUGGUCUGAGAGGAUGAUCAGCCACACUGGGACUGAGACACGGCCCAGACUCCUACGGGAGGCAGCAGUGGGAAUAUUGGACAAUGGGCGAAAGCCUGAUCCAGCAAUGCCGCGUGAGUGAUGAAGGCCUUAGGGUUGUAAAGCUCUUUUACCAGGGAUGAUAAUGACAGUACCUGGAGAAUAAGCUCCGGCUAACUCCGUG